GACGAACGCUGGCGGCGUGCCUAAUACAUGCAAGUCGAACGCAGUGGGGACGGGUGAGUAACACGUGGGUAACCUCCCAUCAGACGGGUUAACACUUGGACACAGGUGCUAAACCGAUACUGAUGGAUGAACCCGCGGUGCAUUAGCUAGUUGGUGAGGUAACGGCGCACCAAGGCCACGAGGCAUAGCCGGGCUGAGAGGGUGAACGGCAACACUGGAACUGAGACACGGUGCAGACUCUUACGGGAGGCCGCAGUAGGGAAGUUUCGGCAAUGGACGAAAGCCUGACCGAGCAACGCCGCGGGAGUGAAGAAGGUUUUAGGAUUGUAAAACUCUGUUGUUAGAGAAGCGGUAUCUAAUCAGACAGCCACGGCUAACUACGGGCCAGCAGCCGCGGUAAUAC
rnacentral:rRNA from 1 species